rnacentral:rRNA from 1 species
AUUGAACGCUGGCGGCAGGCCUAACACAUGCAAGUCGAACGGUAACAGGAAACAGCUUGCUGUUUCGCUGACGAGUGGCGGACGGGUGAGUAAUGUCUGGGAAACUGCCUGAUGGAGGGGGAUAACUACUGGAAACGGUAGCUAAUACCGCAUAACGUCGCAAGACCAAAGAGGGGGACCCUCGGGCCUCUUGCCAUCGGAUGUGCCCAGAUGGGAUUAGCUUGUGGUGGGUAACGGCUCACCAAGGCGACGAUCCCUAGCUGGUCUGAGAGGAUGACCAGCCACACUGGAACUGAGACACGGUCCAGACUCCGUACGGGAGCAGCAGUGGGAAUAUGCACAAGUGGGCGACAAGCCUGAUGCAGCCA